UUUCGCUUUGAAACCAGAUCUUCCGCCAUCCUUUGCCAGUUAGCUCGCCUCACUCUCCUCACAUGAUAAAUUAAAUCGGACACCUGCUGCUUCACUGCGGCGCUCGUUCCGCUUACGCUAAAUUACGAAGGCACGUAGUCACGAACUGAAUUAAGUGCUUUAUUGCUAAAGGCUAAAACUUCAAUACGAUGGGGACGGUGCCGGUGGUCAAGUGCUAUGACCGGUAGGUGGGUUAAACACCGUGUAUCACCGGUAACACCGACUAUCGCAACAAGCCUAGUUUCUAUAAUCAGGUUACAUUUCACGCUAGAGAGGUUCCUGUGGUACUGAACGGCAUGUCAUGUACCUGUUGUGCUGGGAAAGCACUGUGCAACCACAUCGUAGCACUACUGUUUCAAAGUGCUCAUUACAGUACCAUGGGGUUCAAGACAGUGCCAUUGCCACUGUCAUGCACUAGCUCACUGCAGACAUGGCACCGUCCUAGGACACAGGGAAUUGCACCUGAGUCAACAAACUGCAUGGUAGUGUGUAAACCAGUACCAAAAUCCCAGGAUCGUGCCUGAACUGGUGUGAAAUGUACACUGUACAGAGCAUAUAGUGGCAUUUGCAAAAUACUGCACGGACUUCAGGACCUUAAUCUUGUGGACUCUAAGUUUGGCCCUGUGCCAUUUGGGUCUGUGCUCUCCUACCAGUGCCCUCUUGAAAUCAGUAGAGACAUUAUAAAACAUGCUCCUGCCCCUGAAUUUCCUCAACUGCCUGUUGAAGGUUACAAUUUUAAAUUUCAUUACAAUUUUCAGUCCAACUAUAAGCUACAAUGCCACUUAGAAAGCCUUAAGGUGUCGAGGGAAAUCUCUGCUGCUAUUGAGGCAGAAACCCGAAAGCAGUCUGAAUGCCAGUUGUGGACCAAGGUCCGGAAACCCCGACUGACAGCCAGUAGAUUCGGUGAAAUCUACCAUGUCCGUGGGGAGUCUACUGCCAAAGCCUUAGCUGCUCGCAUUCUUAGAGGAAGUCCCCAAACAGCUGCUAUGAAAAGAGGGCUGGACUUGGAACCUGAACUACUGAGGCAAUACUCGGAUUAUUGUAAUAUCUCUGUGAUGCAGUGUGGAAUAAUCAUCCACCCAGAUGCACCUCACCUUGCAGCUAGCCCUGAUGCUAGUCUUCGACCCAAGAGAAACAAUGCCAUUUGGAUUGGCAGAGGUAAAGAGUUGCGAUGUUGACAAUGUUUCUCAAGUAAAACACCUCUUCAAAGUUCACAGCCAGGCCUGCCUUAAGAAAAACCAUAAGUACUACUAUCAGGUUCAAGGCCAGCUGGCAUUAAGUGGACAAAUGUGGUGUGAUUUCAUAACAGAUACCAACACUGAUUUUACAGUUGAAAGAAUCUUUAGAGAUGAGGAGGUUAUAAACUCAUUGCGAAAUAAACUGGAUUAUUUUUAUUACAGCAUCUACAUGGAUGUAUUAUUACGUUGAGGCAUAAUUUUAAAAAGUAAGUAGUUUGUAAAAAAUAUGUAAAUAGUGUGUGUAAAUAAUGUAAAUAGAUGUAAACAUCUGUGAUUCCUGUUGUAAAUACUUUUUCAAUUUACAAUUUUUCAUUUUAGGUAAAUAUAAAUAGGGACCACUGACAAAAAAGCCUAUAUGCUUCUCUUAUGGUCCAUGGUUGCAUAAAACUACUGUAACCUUGUUGUUGUUUGUAUAUUGUGUUUGUAUAUUAGCUGCCGUGUAAGCUUUUGAUUUGUUU